rnacentral:misc_RNA from 1 species
CAAUAGCUCCACGCUGACCACCAAUCUUCUCAGCCAACAAUCAUCAUUUUUACAUGGCAGAGUUCCCCGUUUCCGCAACUACAGCAACCAGCCAAGCUGCUUCUAGUGGCUCUCUUUAGCCUGCGCUCUGCUCUCGCCUAUUAAAAUGCGCUCCCUUCUCACCCUGAGAUCACUUUCAUCCUUUCCUCCACCAUGCCUUACCUCCAAUUUCCACUUUUCUCCUCGUUCUUGCACUUCUUUCCUUUAUAGCCUUA